ACAACCCCGCGUGACUGGCGAUAGGAUCUUCGGAUCCAAGGUGGAGCAACCCACCAGGAAGCGCUGAGCGUCGUUUUGCCGUUCGCCUGGGCAGCUGAG
rnacentral:ncRNA from 2 species